AUGCAAGUCGAACGAAGACCCUUGUACUCGUACGAGGAAUUCUUAGUGGCGAACGGGUGAGUAUCGCGUUGGUGACCUGCCCCGAAGUGGGGGACAACAGUCCGAAAGGACUGCUAAUACCCCAUGUGGCCGUGAUAAUUAGAAAGUCACGACUAAAGGAGUAAUCCGCUUCGGGAGGGGCCUGCGUCCCAUCAGCUAGUUGGUAAGGUAAUGGCUUACCAAGGCUACGACGGGUAUGGGACCUGAGAGGGUGGCCCCCCACACUGGUACUGAAACACGGACCAGACACCUACGGGUGGCAGCAGUAGGGAAUAUUGCACAAUGGGCGAAAGCCUGAUGCAGCAACACCGCGUGUGUGAUGAAGGCCUUCGGGUCGUAAAGCACUUUUAUGAGGGAAGAGGAAGGACGGUACCUCAUGAAUAAGGAUCGGCUAACUACGUGCCAGCAGCCGCGGUAACACGUAGGAUUCAAGCGUUAUCCGGAUUUACUGGGCGUAAAGCGCGUGUAGGCGGCUUAGUAAGUUGGAUGUGAAAGCUCCCGGCCCAACCGGGAGACGUCGUUCAAUACUGCUAGGCUUGAGGACGAUAGAGGAAGGUGGAAUUCCGGGUGUAGUGGUGAAAUGCGUAGAUAUCCGGAGGAACACCAGUGGCGAAGGCGGCCUUCUGGGUCGUUCCUGACGCUCAGACGCGAAAGCUAGGGUAGCGAACGGGAUUAGAAACCCCGGUAGUCCUAGCCGUAAACGAUGUCAACUUGGUGUUGGUGGUGUAAAAACCAUCAGUGCCGUAGCUAACGCGAUAAGUUGACCGCCUGGGGACUACGACCGCAAGGUUAAAACUCAAAGGAAUUGACGGGGCCCCGCACAAGCAGCGGAGCGUGUGGUUUAAUUCGAUGCUACGCGA
rnacentral:rRNA from 1 species